UGGGGAAUUUUGGACAAUGGGCGAAAGCCUGAUCCAGCCAUGCCGCGUGCAGGAUGAAGGCCUUCGGGUUGUAAACUGCUUUUGUACGGAACGAAAAGACUCUGGUUAAUACCUGGGGUCCAUGACGGUACCGUAAGAAUAAGCACCGGCUAACUACGUGCCAGCAGCCGCGGUAAUACGUAGGGUGCAAGCGUUAAUCGGAAUUACUGGGCGUAAAGCGUGCGCAGGCGGUUAUAUAAGACAGAUGUGAAAUCCCCGGGCUCAACCUGGGAACUGCAUUUGUGACUGUAUAGCUAGAGUACGGCAGAGGGGGAUGGAAUUCCGCGUGUAGCAGUGAAAUGCGUAGAUAUGCGGAGGAACACCGAUGGCGAAGGCAACCCCCUGGGCCUGUACUGACGCUCAUGCACGAAAGCGUGGGGAGCAAACAGGAUUAGAUACCCUGGUAGUCCACGCCCUAAACGAUGUCAACUGGGUUGUUGGGUCUUCACUGACUCAGUAACGAAGCUAACGCGUGAAGUUGACCGCCUGGGGAGUACGGCCGCAAGGUUGAAACUCAAAUGAAUUGACGGGGGUCAUAGCU
rnacentral:rRNA from 1 species